AUGCUCGCUUCGGCAGCACAUAUACUAAAAUUAGAACAAUACAGAGAAGAUUAGCACGGCCCCUGCGCAAGGAUGACACGCAAAUUCGUGAAGCGUUCCGUAUAUUA
rnacentral:snRNA from 1 species